AAUAUUGCACAAUGGGGGAAACCCUGAUGCAGCAACGCCGCGUGAGUGAUGACGGCCUUCGGGUUGUAAAGCUCUGUCUUCAGGGACGAUAAUGACGGUACCUGAGGAGGAAGCCACGGCUAACUACGUGCCAGCAGCCGCGGUAAUACGUAGGUGGCAAGCGUUGUCCGGAUUUACUGGGCGUAAAGGGAGCGUAGGCGGACUUUUAAGUGAGAUGUGAAAUACCCGGGCUCAACCUGGGUGCUGCAUUUCAAACUGGAAGUCUAGAGUGCAGGAGAGGAGAGUGGAAUUCCGAGUGUAGCGGUGAAAUGCGUAGA
rnacentral:rRNA from 1 species